rnacentral:lncRNA from 1 species
CAAGACGAUAUCAGUGCAAGCCCAGGAUCAGAACCGUGGCAACUGUCAAGUGAGUCCUUAAGUAUUUAAGAAAAACUUAAGGAUAGAUUCCUCAAAAAAUGAGGAAGAAUUAGAGUAACGUAAUGGAAGCGUAAAUGUAUUAGAUUAUGAAUCUGAUCCAUCAUUGGAUGUUUCUUCAUUAUGAAUGAAGAGAUAAACAAAUAUCUCUUUAUUAUGACUAAAGAGAUAUU